ACACUGAACACUUACAUCUGCAGUUGUUCUCCAGUCUGUGCUGCUUACUUUUAGGACAAACAGAUGUUUUCUAACACUUCCUGUUAGUUUCUUCUGAUCAAACUGAGACUCUGUUACAAACCUCAAACAAACAGGAUUUAUUUAGAACAGCCACAUUUAAGCUUCUCUAAAAAUGUAUCUUAAUUUUGUAUUUUUUUGAGAGUUUGAAUCGUGAGUUAAAGCCGUAUGCGGAUGAUGUACGUAUGUGUUCUCCAAAAAACAGCACAGUUGUUUUAAACUUUCAUUACUAAAAAAACAAUAAAAAAAUAAAUAAACCAGGUCGUCAGGAAAGUGAAAGGAGGCCACUGGCCAGGCUCACAUACGUCUGACAUUUGAGAUGUUAAAGAAAAAAACAGCAGGAAACUGUGGCCUGACACAUACACGCUUGUAUGAGGUAGAUGGUGAUGACGCUAUGAUACAGCCCCCCAGUCAGUCAGUCAGUCAGUCACCAGUCAGUCUGUCUAGCAGCAGCAUGGCAGUAACAACACUGUGCGUCGUCAUUGCCGCUCUGAGAGUCAUUCCCAACAGAUCCCAGUUCUUCCAGUACGAGUCCGUCAAACUGAGCUGUGGGCCGCUGGGAAACUCUUCUGGCUGGAGAGUUAAGAGGAACACAUCCGCAAACAUAAAUGAAUCCUGUGAUAGAAUGAAUGAAUCUGACUGCUCCAUUAGUGAACUUUACCCGUUAGACAGCGGCGUGUACUGGUGUGAGUCUGCAGCGGGAGAAUGCAGCAACACCGUCAACAUCAACGUGAUCGGCGCUGGUGGUGUGAUCCUGGAGAGUCCAGUCCUUCCUGUGAUGGAGGGAGACGCUGUGACUCUGCGCUGCAGAACCAAGAGGACUUCCUCCUUCAACCUCACAGCUGAUUUCUAUAAAGAUGGCCGCCUCAUCAGGAGCAGCUCUACGGGAACCCUGACCAUCCACAGUGUUUCAAAUUCAGACGAAGGACUCUACAAGUGCAACGUCUCUGGAGCUGGAGAAUCACCAGACGGCUGGCUGACUGUCAGAGCAGGGCAUCCUGAGUCGCCUGACUCCCUCUGCACACACAUUGUACUUCCUGUGGUGGGCCUCGCGUUGGUCGCUCUUGUCUCGGUGAUGCUGCUCUGCCUCUGGAGAAGCCACAAAGGUAAAGUGAGGCGUGAUGUCUCGUACACCGACGUUAUCAACACACAGGAAGUGCAGCCCAACGGGAUCAGAGAUGUGGACGCUGCAGAGAGCUUCUACUCUACUCUACAACCGGUAGAACACCUGACAGGAAACAUCAACAGUCUCACUCCCAGCAUGUCAAAAACCGACGCUUGGUCAGGGGUCUAUGGCGUUUGUUACUGACGCACAAAGUCUCCUUUAGCGUCUCGGUCCGACGCAGGAGGCUUUCAACAUGUGGAAAUGUAUAUUUUAUGAUUUUAUUUGUCUUCUGAGCAGCCUGGCUGAAACUUUUUCACAAAGCUGAGCCACUUCAUCGACGAGGGAAUGAAGACUUAACGGUCGACCAAAAACACUGACGUCUCGGUUUUAUCGUCUGGAUAUAAUGAAACAGAAAGUUCAGUGUCUGUGCAAUGAAACAAGCUGAAACUGAAGUGAAAUAAAUCUCAUGAAAGCAGACACAGUAAACGCCUCUCCCGUCU